UACGUAGGGUGCGAGCGUUAAUCGGAAUUACUGGGCGUAAAGCGUGCGCAGGCGGUUCGCCAAGUCAGGUGUGAAAUCCCCGGGCUUAACCUGGGAAUUGCGCUUGAAACUAGCGGGCUUGAGUGUGGCAGAGGGGGGUGGAAUUCCACGUGUAGCAGUGAAAUGCGUAGAGAUGCGGAGGAACACCGAUGGCGAAGGCAGCCCCCUGGGCCAACACUGACGCUCAGGCACGAAAGCGUGGGGAGCAAACAGG
rnacentral:rRNA from 1 species